CACGUAGGGGCCAAGCGUUGUCCGGAUUUAUUGGGCGUAAAGAGCUCGUAGGCGGUUCGACAAGUCGGGUGUGAAAACUCCGGGCUCAACCCGGAGACGCCACCCGAUACUGUCGUGACUGGAGUCCGGUAGGGGAGUGGGGAAUUCCUGGUGUAGCGGUGAAAUGCGCAGAUAUCAGGAGGAACACCGGUGGCGAAGGCGGUUCUCUGGGAAUGUUCUGACGCUGAGGAGCGAAAGUGUGGGGAGCGAACAGG
rnacentral:rRNA from 1 species